UACGUAGGGUGCAAGCGUUGUUCGGAAUCAUUGGGCGUAAAGCGCGUGUAGGCGGUCAGAUAAGUCGGGUGUGAAAUCCCUGGGCUCAACCGAGGAAGGGCAUCCGAAACUAUUUGGCUGGAAGAUGGCAGAGGAAGGUGGAAUUCCUAGUGUAGAGGUGAAAUUCGUAGAUAUUAGGAGGAAUACCGGCGGCGAAGGCGGCCUUCUGGACCAUUCUUGACGCUGAGACGCGAAAGCGUGGGUAGCAAACAGG
rnacentral:rRNA from 1 species